CGGGGUGUGGCGCAGUUUGGUAGCGCGCUUGAAUGGGGUUCAAGAGGCCGCUAGUUCGAAUCUAGUCACUCCGACCA
rnacentral:tRNA from 2 species